GAAAUGUGGGAGCAACGUUCCAAGCACCAGCGGAGAAAUCCGUGAGCCAACAUUGCUUGCAGAAAAUGUAGUGUUGGUUGACUGUUCUUCACUGCCUUCAGGCCGACUUCAGGUUGAUGUCACCCUCAGGAGACAGAGUAACGCAUCAGAUGACUCUCUUAGCCUUUCACCAGGCACACCCCCAUCUCUGCUGAACAAUUCCACUCACAGACAAAUGAUGUCAAAGCCCUCCACAGUGAAGCUGUCUUCUGGUAUUCCAGCCAGGAAAAGAAAUCACAGAGGAGAGACGUUACUGCACAUUGCCUCUAUAAAGCAUGAAGCCUGCAGUCAUGGGCACCUGAAGAUAGUGGAGCUGCUGCUCCAGCACAAUGCCUUGGUGAACACCACCGGCUAUCACAAUGACUCGCCACUGCACG
rnacentral:lncRNA from 1 species